UGAUAUUUUAUCAUGCUUCAUGCAUCAUGAAUAUGCUAUAGGGUGAGUGCAUUAGUGUACACAAAGAUGAUGCAUUGCAUUUAUCCUUGUACUUGGCAUGGCUCCUUGUACAUUGUUUAUGUGAGACGGCACGGACUUCGUGAGGAUUCAUUAGCCCUCAGAGGAAAGACCUGGAACAGCCCUACGGGGACCAGGCACAAAG
rnacentral:lncRNA from 1 species